AUUAAAUUAUCUUGAUCCUUUAUUUUAUCUUUUAACGGCUGGGAUUAAAAGAUGCAAACGUAACGUAAAAAUAUGUACGUGUUCAAGUAGUAUAACAUGCCACGUACAAAUAGUGCACAUAGGUUCCAUCCGAAUCGUCAACUAGCCCGUAGAAAGAAAAAAAAAUUAAUCAAUGGGUCAAGGAAGCAAAAAUAGUAGGAAACCUAAACAAAUAAGGACAACGAUUGGACCUAACCAGACCUCACGUGAGGAAGUUCCAAAACAGGAACCAAGACAUGAAAAAAAAGACAGGUUUCCGAUCUGCUUUCACGGUCUCGGCCACCUCAACCCAUGCACCUCCAUCCAUAUAUAAACAAGUACAGCCGGCCGCAGAAGCACACACCAAAAAUUUAGAAGUCGGCAACCAAGAUGGCUUGAAGACAUCACAUGCGAUUCGGCAACUCAGAUGGCUUGAAGACAUCACACGCAACUGGGCCACUUGACAUUUGAUACGCAAAGCCACCUCCAGCCGUUUCACUCUACGUCCGACGAAGUCACGCCAAAGCACACUCAACGCAUGACGAAGCCAUGCCCAGCUACUCCAAUCGACCUCGGAAGAAGUGACGCCAAAGCACUUUUGGCCUAAAUCAUCAGAUAAUUUGGUAAUUGUUAGUAACAGUCUUAUUUUCUCUGGAUAGAAUCUUUAUAAACACUAUAUCAAUUGACAAAUUGUUCCCUAUUAAUAUUCAAGGCAAAACACUAUGACAUGCAAGAAGUUGAGUUGACUUAAAUACAAGGGGACGGAACUGGAACAUUCAUCAAGUAAAACAAAUACGAAUGUGGGAUUCAGUCAAUCCUACCACUGAUGAGCUUAUUAGCCUAGAUAUGAUAUAAGAGCAAAGGAUCAUCAGAAAUCGACCAAAUAAUCAAUGCGGAGAUCUCAGACAAAGAUGUUGAUCCGGACGGAUAUGAAGCUGUUGAAAAUUUCAUGAUGCACGGGCCUUGCAGAGAGGCAAAUACAAAAUGACCAUGCAUGAUGGACAACAGAUGCACUAAACACUUCCCAAAAGGAUACAAUGUCGAUACCACAAUCGAUGAGGAUGGGUUUCCAGUAUAUAGAAGGCGAGACAAUGGAAGGAAUAUCAAAAAGGGAGGAGCAAUGCUCAACAACAGAUUUGUCGUACCAUACAACCGAAACCUUUUGGUCAAUUCCAAGAUCACAUAAAUGUCGAGUGGUGCAACAGGCCCAGGUCAAUCAAGUACCUAUUUAAGAACAUCCAUAAAGAUGACGAUCAGGCAACGGCCUUACUAAAGGAAAGAGAUGCGGCAAACGACUAUGAUGACAUCAAGAAAUACCUAGAGAUGAGAUACAUAUCAACAACUGAAGCAUACUGGCGGAUAUUCCAGUUUGAUCUACACCAUCGUGAUCCACCAGUCGAGAGACUACCAUUCCACAUUGAAAAUGAUCAAGAAGUUAUUUUUCUGGACUCGACUGACAUUGAUAAGAUAGUAAGAAGGCCAGGAUCCACGAGUACUAAGUUCACUGAGUGGAUGGAGGCAAACAAAAUACAUGAGGCAGGAAAAGAAUUAACCUAUGCAGAAUUCCCAUCAAAAUUUGUAUGGAAAAGCGAAACGAAAACUUGGGGAGCCGAGAAGGGGCUUCGCUAUUGGAAGAAUCUACUAUGCACACUCUGCAAGUGGCAGCCGGUAUUAUAUGAGAAUGCUUCUAAACACCGAGAAAGGAUGCACAUAAUUCAGGAUAUUGGAACAGUUAAUGGAGCUAUUCACCCAACAUACAAAUAAGAAUGCCAAGCGCUUGGAUUUCAUGAUGACGACAGUGAGUGGAUUGAAUGCAUCAAUGAAGCAUAAUGCUGGGGCUCAGGGACACAAUUACGAAAAUUAUUCACCACAAUUUUAUGCCAUUGUGAGGUGACCAACCCAAAGAUGUUGAGGGAAUCAACAUGGGAGGCACUGUCUAAAGAUAUCCAGUACAAAAGAAGAAUUAUCCUUAACUUUUCUAUGCUGCAGCUCACUGAUUCAUAGAAAAAGGCAUAUGCUCUGAUUGAGAUAGAGAAACUAAUGAGGCAAGCAGGAAAGACACAAAAGGACUAUCCAGACACAGAACUACCAAAUGCUACAGAACUUGAAGAACUUGGGAACAGAAUGAUAAACGAAAAACUUAGCUAUGACAUGGAGGCACUAAAGAAUGAGCACCAAACCAUAAUAAGCAAUGUUAACCAUGGCCAGAAAAUGACCUUUGAUGCAAUAAUGGAAUCAGCUGCGAAAGGACUUGGAAAACAGAUAUUUGUAGAAGGCUACGGUGGCACAGGCAAAACUUAUCUAUGGAAAGCAAUUACAAGGAAGCUACGGUCAGAGGGAAAGAAAGUGCUUGUGUUAGCAUCAUCUGGCGUUGCAGCUUUGCUCCUACAAGGUGGAAGAACAGCGCACUCAAGAUUCCACAUUCCAAUAAAUUCCAUGGAAGAAUCAACAUGUGAAAUAAAACAAGGCUCACAUUUGGCUGAACUGGUAAAGAAGACCUCACUGAUACUAUGGGACGAGGCUCCUAUGGCAAACAAACACUGCUUCAAUGCACUAGAAAAUAGCCUUAGGGAUAUUCUAAGGUUCACAAACCAAAAUAGUGAAGAAAGGCCAUUUGGUGACAUGAAAGUUGUGCUAGAAGGUGACUUCAGACAAAUACUUAAAGUGAUAACAAAGGAAAAGAGAGAGCAGAUAGUAAAUGCCUCGGUCAAAAGUUCAUACCUAUGGAAGUACUUCGAAAUAUUUAGACUAACUGAAAACAUGCGGCUAAAGUCUGUUAGAAGAUCCAAUAGAAAAGCAAAAUGUGGCCGAAUUUGCAGAAUGGAUAUUACAAUCUGCGAUGAAAAAAUGAAGGGAGAUGAUUGGGUAAGAAUACCUAAAGACAUAAUUCUACAUAAAGGAGAAGACCCCAAAGAAGAGAUAGUAAAAAGCACAUACCCAAACUUGCAGCAAAACUAUCGUAACCGUGAAUUUCUCGAAGAAAGAGCAAUCCUGUGUCCAAGGAAUGAAAUAGUUAAGAUAAAUGACUACAUAAUGAGCCAAAUACAAGGUGAAGAGAUGAAAUACCUAUACUUGGACACUGUGUGCAAGGCAACAAUGAAUUACAACACUAAUGGAGAAUAUGUGUGCAACAGAGUUCCUUAGCAACAUGAUCUUCCCAGGAAUUCCAAUCCAUGAGCUAAAACUAAAGGUAGGUUUGGAGGUGAUGCUCCUACGAAACAAGCAGACGGUUUAUGCAAUGGCACAAGAAUGACUAUCAUACAGCUGGGAAAAAAGGUACAUUGAGGCACAAAUAAUCACACGAACACACGUCGGUGACAAGGUAUACAUACCUAUAAUCAUUAUGUCACCAAGCGACUCAAAGUGGCCCUUUGUGCUGAAAAGAAGGCAAUAUCCUCUAUCAGUUUAUUUCGCAAUGACCAUAACCAAAAGCCAAGGUCAAUCCCUAAACAAGGUGGGCCUAUAUUUGUGUAAGCAAGUCUUCUUCCAUGGGCAAUUCUAUGUAGCAUUAUCAAGAGUCACAAACAGAGAAUGAUUAAAGGUGUUGAUUGACAACACGGAGUACCCAAGCGAAGAUAGCACAAAGAAUAUAGUAUACAAA
rnacentral:lncRNA from 1 species